rnacentral:rRNA from 1 species
UCGAGAAUCUUCGGCAAUGGACGCAAGUCUGACCGAGCGAUGCCGCGUGCGGGACGAAGGCCUUCGGGUUGUAAACCGCUGUCAGUAGUUAGGAAAUCCCAUGGGGUUCUCUCCAUGGGUUGACCGAUCUUCAGAGGAAGGACGGGCUAAGUUCGUGCCAGCAGCCGCGGUAAGACGAACCGUCCAAACGUUAUUCGGUAUCACUGGGCUUAAAGCGUGCGUAGGCGGCUUGGUAGGUGAGAUGUGAAAGCCCACGGCUCAACCGUGGAAUUGCGUUUCAAACCCCCAAGCUCGAGGAAGAUAGGGGUGAUCGGAACUUAUGGUGGAGCGGUGAAAUGCGUUGAUAUCAUAGGGAACACCGGUGGCGAAAGCGGAUCACUGGAUCUUUUCUGACGCUGAGGCACGAAAGCUAGGGUAGCGAACGGGAUUAGAUACCCGCGUAGUCC